GACGAACGCUGGCGGCGUGCCUAAUACAUGCAAGUUGAGCGCUGAAGGUUGGUACUUGUACCGACUGGAUGAGCAGCGAACGGGUGAGUAACGCGUGGGGAAUCUGCCUUUGAGCGGGGGACAACAUUUGGAAACGAAUGCUAAUACCGCAUAAAAACUUUAAACACAAGUUUUAAGUUUGAAAGAUGCAAUUGCAUCACUCAAAGAUGAUCCCGCGUUGUAUUAGCUAGUUGGUGAGGUAAAGGCUCACCAAGGCGAUGAUACAUAGCCGACCUGAGAGGGUGAUCGGCCACAUUGGGACUGAGACACGGCCCAAACUCCUACGGGAGGCAGCAGUAGGGAAUCUUCGGCAAUGGACGAAAGUCUGACCGAGCAACGCCGCGUGAGUGAAGAAGGUUUUCGGAUCGUAAAACUCUGUUGGUGGAGAAGAACGUUGGUGAGAGUGGAAAGCUCAUCAAGUGACGGUAACUACCCAGAAAGGGACGGCUAACUACGUG
rnacentral:rRNA from 1 species